UUCAAUACAAAGAGGAGGGGCAGUUACACAGGUUAGGGAAUCUCAACAAGAAUGGGGAAUUCUUGUAGUUGUUGCAGCUAACUUUCUUGCUGCAGGAGGUACAGCGAACCCUUAGGGGUGACUCUAACACGUAAGGGUGUGAAAAUACCCUUUAGAGCAGUUAUUGAGCCAGUGGAGUGAGGAAAACCUACUCCCCUGGACUAAAAGUUUAAGUAAAAACAGGAUGAUAAAUUUGUGCAUUGAAAAAUGGCAAAAUACAUAAUUGAGGAACCACAAUACGGGUAGGAUCAUC